ACGCUGGCGGCGUGCCUAACACAUGCAAGUCGAGCGAGGAGAUUCCCUUCGGGGAUGAACCUAGCGGCGGACGGGUGAGUAACACGUGGGCAACCUGCCUUAUAGAGGGGAAUAGCCUUCCGAAAGGAAGAUUAAUACCGCAUAACAUUACAUUUUCGCAUGAAGAAGUAAUUAAAGGAGCAAUCCGCUAUAAGAUGGGCCCGCGGCGCAUUAGCUAGUUGGUGAGGUAACGGCUCACCAAGGCGACGAUGCGUAGCCGACCUGAGAGGGUGAUCGGCCACAUUGGGACUGAGACACGGCCCAGACUCCUACGGGAGGCAGCAGUGGGGAAUAUUGCACAAUGGGGGAAACCCUGAUGCCAGCAACGCCGCGUGAGUGAUGAAGGUCUUCGGAUCGUAAAGCUCUGUCUUCAGGGACGAUAAUGACGGUACCUGAGGAGGAAGCCACGGCUAACUACGUGCCAGCCGCGGC
rnacentral:rRNA from 1 species